rnacentral:rRNA from 1 species
UACGUAGGGUGCAAGCGUUAAUCGGAAUUAUUGGGCGUAAAGCGUGCGCAGGCGGUGAUGUAAGACCGAUGUGAAAUCCCCGGGCUUAACCUGGGAACUGCAUUGGUGACUGCAUCGCUCGAGUAUGGCAGAGGGGGGUAGAAUUCCACGUGUAGCAGUGAAAUGCGUAGAGAUGUGGAGGAAUACCGAUGGCGAAGGCAGCCCCCUGGGUCAAUACUGACGCUCAUGCACGAAAGCGUGGGGAGCAAACAGG